rnacentral:ncRNA from 1 species
AAAAAGUUUUAUUUAUGCUUGGAAUUUUGGUUUGAUGAAUUUUUUUCAUGCUAUUUUGGUUUCUAGAGGAGGUAAUUUGCAGUGAAUAGAUUUGGUUGUUAAGGAAAUUUAGAGUCAGAGAUUCAUAAAAGCAUUAACAAAGUUUGUGCCAGCAGUUGCGGUUAAACAAUAAAUGCAAUUAAAAUUGAUUGGUGAGUAAUAAAUUUUUUUUUAUAUUUAAUGCUGUUUUUUAAGGUGAAAUUUAAUAGUGGUGAGUUAUUUUAUUGGAUAAUGAAUUUACGAAACUUUUGUUUUAAACUAGGAUUAGAUACCCUAUUAUUGAAAGUUUAAAUUGUGAAUACCUGAUUAUUAAUAGUUUAGUUCUUGAAAUUUAAAAAAUUUGGCGGUGUUUUAGUCUAUUCAGAGGAACCUGUCCUGUAAUUGAUAGUCCACGAUUAGUCGUACUUACUUUUUUAGUUUGUAUAUCGUCGUUAUUAGAAUAUCUUAGGAGAGUAAAUGUUCAGGAUAUAAUAUUAUGUAGAAAUUCAGAUCAAGGUGCAGUUUAUAGGUAAGAAGAGAUGGGUUACAUUAAGAGUACUUGUGGUGUAUUAAUUUAAUUAUUGAUACUAAAUUGGAUUUGAUAGUAAUUUUAGUUAUUUAACUUGAGUGAUUUUAGCUCUAGAAUAUGUACAUAUCGCCCGUCACUCCAACUGUAGUUGGAUAAGUCGUAACAAAGUAGGUGUAUCGGAAGAUGUACCUAGAAAGA